UUCUGAGUUGCUGAGCAUUCCUUGUGAGACCAGGAAGAGAGGCCGGAUGUGACGUUCCCUCAGCCAUAUAAAUACGGCCGGCCGCGACUGUAACGCCCUCUUGUCAUUGGUGCCAUCUUAGGAAGGCUCUUCUUCUGAAGAUGAGAGCCAAGUGGAGGAAGAAGCGUAUGCGCAGACUGAAGCGUAAGAGGAGAAAGAUGAGGCAGAGGUCAAAGUAAACGUCUCCCAUUGCUGCUUCUGAGGUCUGCAAGCUGAAAACACUCCUGAAAAGAAACUGCCUUGACCAGAUCACCUGAAAUGGUUUUCAAACUGGGACUAUAAUCAUAUGGCACAUGUCACCUAUAACUGGAAGUCUCCACAGUGUACAAUCUGAGGCCAUGAUGUGUUGGACAGGCAUGCUGACACCUUCUGUCAGGAGUUUGGACUUGUUUGUUUCUGGUCUCAUGCAGCAAGUAUAAUAAAAAAAACCUUGUGGUUAAACAAAA